rnacentral:rRNA from 1 species
GACGGGGGAUGCGAGCGUUAUCCGGAAUGAUUGGGCGUAAAGGGUCCGCAGGUGGCCCGGUCAGUCCGCUGUCAAAGCCUGGGGCUCAACCCUGGAGAGGCGGCGGAGACCACCGGGCUUGAGUCCGGUAGGGGCAGAGGGAAUUCCCGGUGUAGCGGUGAAAUGCGUAGAUAUCGGGAAGAACACCAAAGGCGAAAGCGCUCUGCUGGGCCGAAACUGACACUGAGAGACGAAAGCUAGGGGAGCGAAUGGG